UACGAAGGGUGCAAGCGUUACUCGGAAUUACUGGGCGUAAAGCGUGCGUAGGUGGUUUGUUAAGCCUGAUGUGAAAGCCCUGGGCUCAACCUGGGAAUUGCAUUGGAUACUGGCAGGCUAGAGUGCGGUAGAGGAUGGCGGAAUUCCCGGUGUAGCAGUGAAAUGCGUAGAGAUCGGGAGGAACAUCUGUGGCGAAGGCGGCCAUCUGGACCAGCACUGACACUGAGGCCCGAAAGCGUGGGGAGCAAACAGG
rnacentral:rRNA from 1 species